UACGGAGGAUGCGAGCGUUAUCCGGAUUUAUUGGGUUUAAAGGGCGAGUAGGCGGGCUGGCAAGUUGGGAGUGAAAUCCCGGGGCUUAACCCCGGAACUGCUUUCAAAACUGCUGGUCUUGAGUGAUGGAGAGGCAGGCGGAAUUCCGUGUGUAGCGGUGAAAUGCGUAGAUAUACGGAGGAACACCAGUGGCGAAGGCGGCCGCCUGGCCUGUUACUGACGCUGAGGCACGAAAGCGUGGGGAGCAAAUAGG
rnacentral:rRNA from 1 species